rnacentral:rRNA from 1 species
AGUGAACGCUGGCGGUAGGCCUAACACAUGCAAGUCGAACGGCAGCACAGUAAGAGCUUGCUCUUACGGGUGGCGAGUGGCGGACGGGUGAGGAAUACAUCGGAAUCUACUUUUUCGUGGGGGAUAACGUAGGGAAACUUACGCUAAUACCGCAUACGACCUACGGGUGAAAGCAGGGGAUCUUCGGACCUUGCGCGAUUGAAUGAGCCGAUGUCGGAUUAGCUAGUUGGCGGGGUAAAGGCCCACCAAGGCGACGAUCCGUAGCUGGUCUGAGAGGAUGAUCAGCCACCCUGGAACUGAGACACGGUCCAGACUCCUACGGGAGGAGGCAGUGGGGAAUAUCGGACAAUGGGCGCAAGCUUGAUCCAGCCCUACCGCGUGGGUGAAGAAGGCCUUCGGGUUUUAAAGCCCUUUUGUUGGGAAAGAAAAGCAGCAGGUUAAUACCCCGCUGUUCUGACGGUACCCAAAGAAUAAGCACCGGCUAACUUCGUG